rnacentral:rRNA from 1 species
CGAGGAGCUUGCUCCUCCGAUCAGUGGCGAACGGGUGAGUAACACGUGAGCAACAUGCCCCUCACUCUGGGAUAACAGUUGGAAACAGCUGCUAAUACCGGAUACGACACAGACAGGCAUCUGUACUGUGUGGAAAGUUUUUCGGUGAGGGAUGGGCUCGCGGCCUAUCAGUUUGUUGGUGGGGUAAUGGCCUACCAAGACGACGACGGGUAGCCGGCCUGAGAGGGCGACCGGCCACACUGGGACUGAGACACGGCCCAGACUCCUACGGGAGGCAGCAGUGGGGAAUAUUGCACAAUGGGCGAAAGCCUGAUGCAGCGACGCCGCGUGAGGGAUGACGGCCUUCGGGUUGUAAACCUCUUUCAGCAGGGAAGAAGCGAAAGUGACGGUACCCGCAGAAGAAGCACCGGCUAACUACGUGCCAGCAGCCGCGGUAAUACGUAGGGUGCGAGCGUUGUCCGGAAUUAUUGGGCGUAAAGAGCUUGUAGGCGGUUUGUCGCGUCUGCUGUGAAAAUCCGGGACUCAAUUCCGGACCUGCAGUGGGUACGGGCAGACUAGAGUACGGUAGGGGAGACUGGAAUUCCUGGUGUAGCGGUGAAAUGCGCAGAUAUCAGGAGGAACACCGAUGGCGAAGGCAGGUCUCUGGGCCGUAACUGACGCUGAGAAGCGAAAGCAUGGGGAGCGAACAGGAUUAGAUACCCUGGUAGUCCAUGCCGUAAACGUUGGGCGCUAGGUGUGGGGCUCAUUCCACGAGCUCUGUGCCGCAGCUAACGCAUUAA